GUAAAUCUGGAGCCAGCAAUGCUCUUUGUGGUUGGUCUCUGAUGCCAUUGGGUUUAUACAAAUGAGUGGACUUCCCAGGCUGUUGAGUCAGCAGCACUGAUGGGGGCAUUAUGUUUUUGUUCCUGAUCCUUAAAGAAGAUGCAGGUUUUUGCUUUGCAGUUACCAUGAGGCUUACAUAAAACAUCCUACAGAUAAAACAGUCAAUUUUAAGCUGAUAAUGGAGAUCUUGUCAAGAUGGUGGUGUGAGCAGACGUUGAACUCGUCUCUUCCCACGAACACAGCCAGGUUACCACAAUUUUUGGAAGAAUUACCCCAGAUUGAAAACUGAAAACUGGAUAAAAAGAACCCCCACAACAAGGGACAGUCCCGACGAAGGCAGAAGAGGCAGUAAUUCCUGCUGGAGAGGGAAAAAGCCACCUUUGGGAGCAGCGAAGCUUCUCAGCUGGCCAGGUGGGAGCCACCCUAAGGGGAUGAUGAUGAUGAUGAUGAUAAGUGACACUACCAGUGAAGAAAGAAAGGAUACACCAGGAAGUUGAUAAAUAGAAAAUCAGCAAACUAUAACUUCCUAACUCUAUCAAUCAAUCUUCUCCACUGUAUUUCAGAAAUAAUAUGAGAUAGCUUAAUUUUUGACUGGUUAUUGACCUGUAUGUUUACGCUACCAAAGAGAAAUGACUUC
rnacentral:lncRNA from 1 species